AAGAGUAAAAUCUGUCAUAAGAUAGUAGUUUAGGAACUUCCUGUUGGUUCACAUUUAAAGCAGCUUGUAUUUAAUUUUCAUCUUGCCACUAAGAACCCAGAGUGAAGGUCAGGAGACCCAGAGACAGGGCACUUUGUUGAGAACUGAACCAGCGACCGGCUGGCUGCCUACACGAACUAGGAGCCAUAAUGGAACCCAAGCCUCAGAAGAGUCCAGGAGAGAGAGAGACAGCGUGAGCAGGGGAGGGUCA